rnacentral:rRNA from 1 species
UACAGAGGGUGCGAGCGUCGUUCGGAAUUAUUGGGCGUAAAGGGCGCGUAGGCGGUGCGGCAAGUCACCUGUGAAAACUCUGGGCUUAACCCAGAGCCUGCAUUCAAUACUGACAGGCUAGAGUUCUGGAGGGGAUAGCGGAAUUCCUGGUGUAGCGGUGAAAUGCGUAGAUAUCAGGAGGAACACCGGUGGCGAAGGCGGCUAUCUGGACAGAGUCUGACGCUGAGGCGCGAAAGCUAGGGGAGCAAACAGG